AUUGAACGCUGGCGGCAUGCUUUACACAUGCAAGUCGAACGGUAACAGGCCUUCGGGUGCUGACGAGUGGCGAACGGGUGAGUAAUGCAUCGGAACGUACCCAGAGGUGGGGGAUAACGCAGCGAAAGCUGUGCUAAUACCGCAUGUGAUCUGAGGAUGAAAGCGGGGGACCGAGCAGCAAUGUUUGGCCUCGCGCCUUUGGAGCGGCCGAUGUCGGAUUAGCUAGUUGGUGGGGUAAAGGCCUACCAAGGCGACGAUCCGUAGCUGGUCUGAGAGGACAACCAGCCACACUGGGACUGAGACACGGCCCAGACUCCUACGGGAGGCAGCAGUGGGGAAUUUUGGACAAUGGGCGCAAGCCUGAUCCAGCAAUGCCGCGUGCGGGAAGAAGGCCUUCGGGUUGUAAACCGCUUUUGGCAGGAACGAAACGGUGUCCGCUAAUACCGGGCGCUAAUGACGGUACCUGCAGAAUAAGCACCGGCUAACUACGUG
rnacentral:rRNA from 1 species